rnacentral:miRNA from 1 species
CUAUGCCAGCAUCUUGCCU